CUCAAACGCAGGCAGUGCGAUAAAACAUGCAAGACUCAAAGACGCGCUAAAACUGAGUUACCCUUACCUUCGUGAGUAGUAGUGCAUAGAAGUUGCGAACCUCGUGAUCUUUCAGAUCAAAAAUUAAUCGUUGUAGAAAAUACUAAGCAUCAAGAUCCUAGCUUCCGCUCCAAAACUCAAGAAUCUUCUCACACUCAAGAUAAAAACUCAAGAAUUUACACCAACAACUAAUGACACAACUAGUAUUAUUAGGAGUAAUAUAUGAGAACAAAGCUCUGUGUGUGUUUUCUUCUUCUUUUUUUUGGAAGCCUUCACGUUGCUCCUUAAAUAGCAUGAAGUCUCAAUGCUUCGGAGUGAAGAAAUCACCCAGCAAUUGGCACGUCCAGCUUGAGGAAAAGGAGGAGGUGGAAUGCUUAGAGGAAAGCAAGCUUUUUAGGUGGUGAUGACUCAUGAAGCAAGGAGGAGGUGGUGUGUUUGGAAGAAAUCCACCAUGCAAACAAGCCUGAGGUGCCAUGUUAGAAACAUGCAAAUAAGCAGGAUCUGUCCAGUUUCUUUUUCUUAAUUAGAGGUUUAUGAGAGGGUGAACGGUUGUCCUUGGUCUAGGUGUCGAGUAGUCAUGGGUUGUAGUGUGUGUUGUGUCAAGAUUUGAGUGGGGAGUUGGGCACGUGGUACUCCCCCAAAGGCCACGAGAAUUCUGACAAAAGAAUGGUAAAUGAAUACUAAAACAAAGUUGGAAUCAGAAUGGUUAGACUUAUAGGAUAAAGUAAAGUGUUAG
rnacentral:lncRNA from 1 species